UCGAACCACCCCAGCAUCCUCGACGAGAAAACCCUGGGAGCCCCUCACCUUCUCCUUCCCUUGCACACUCCCGCCCGCCCUCCUCGUUGUACGAACCGAGGCAGGUUCCCCUCCUCCUUCCUCCUUCCUCCCCAUUCUCGCCACCCUCAAGAAAACAUAGGGACGCCCCCACUUCAUCUUUACCCACUCCCCGUAACCGCAGCUAGCUAUCUUCGUUGGGGAAUCGAAAGGUGCCCCCACCUCGCCCCACCCCAUUGCCCUCCACCCCGGGCAGAAAGCCCAGGGCCCCAUGCCCUCGGUUCCCACUCCCCACCAUUCCGAAGAGGAAAAUGGGAGAAUCCCCUCCUCCCUCGCGCUGCCCCCACCUCCAGGCGCUCCUGAUCCCCUCCACCCGCCACCCCGGCGACGAGAGCCCGAAAACCGAGGGGAGGCUGAGGCACGCACCGGCGGGAGGGGAGGGGAGGGGACCCCGCGGCCGGCCGGCCCGCAGUCCCCACCCCGGGCCGGACGGCCGAGGCCCGAGGCCCCAGAUACCCGCCCCGGGGGCCAGCCCGCGGGCAGCGGCGGGGUAGGAGGGCAGCCGCUCCCCCGGGACGCGGGCCCACGGGGCGGGAGGCACACACGCAUGCACUCACACGCGGAGAGAAAGCGGGCUUACUGCCUGGGGAUGCUCGCCCGCACGGCUGUCUCGGCGGCGGCCGCUGCCAGCACCGAUACGGAGGCGCGGCGGCGGCGGCUGCGGACUGAGCCCCCUCGGCCGGGCGGUGGAUGUAGGGCGCGGGAGGGCGCGAGGAGGGGCGCGCGGGGAGGCGGGGAGGGAGGGCGCGCGCGCGCGGGGCGGGGCAGGCGCGGCUGGCCGGGGGCGGGGCGGGGCGCGCCAGCCCGGGCCCGGCCCACGGGGCUGCGGUGCGGGGCGCGCGCGCCGGAGGCCGCCCGGCCGGGGGCGGGUGGGGUUGGGGCGCCACGCACCACGCGCGGCCACGUGCCCCGCCUCGGGAGCGGCCCGCCGACUGCAAGGCGCGGGCGCGCGGGGAAGGUGGCUGUGAGGAGGCGGGGGCGAGCGCUUCCCCGGCUGACGUGGGAGGCCGAGGGAGGGCAGGCCGGGCGCCUGAGCCCCUGGCGCCGCAGCCCUCGAGGCCGGCGGGGUCACGAGUCACUGCAGGCGGCAGCGGCCGGCGCCGGGAGGUGGGAGCAACAAAGGGAGUCGACCGAAGGUGGCGUCACCAGGGGCCUUCUAACCUACGCACCCCUGCAAAGCAGCCCGGGUCCGGGCGCACCGCGAUUUGGCCCCAGACUGCAGGAGCCCUGUGGUUCUGAGGGAUGCCAGAGGACCCACCGGCGACCCUUCCCCUUAGUAAUCGGCCGGAGGGAGCGGAAAGGAUCCCCAACCAUUAGCCAAAAGCCACCAUACAGAGGGCUUUACAUCAUUCGGAAAAGCACCGAUGGCAGAGCAGCACGUGGCUACUCAUUCAUUCACUCAACAUUCGGUUUACUGAGCCCUCACCUUGUGCCAAGCACUCUGCCAGGCGCUCAGGAUAUAGGGCAAAGUCAAGCAGAACACCCUCCACUUGCCCUCGGAGCUUGCAGUCUAGUGGGGAAGACAGACGACCAAGAAGUGAGAAAAUAAUCAGAUUUGGCAUUAGGCCUGUGCAGGGAAAAAAGAGGGUGCAAACUGUGUGGUUAGGAAAGUAGGAGGUGGCAUUUAGCCGAGCCCUGAAACUUAUAAAAUGGCAACUAUUGGAAGAGCCAGGAGAAAGCCUUGCAGAAAGAGGAAGCAGACGUAUGAAACCCAGGAGGGGCAAAUCUUAACUUCCUUAAGACUAAGAGGUGGUGGUUGUGAUCAGCACCAGAAGAGCUAGGGAGAGCAGCAUAAGCCUGGAUAGGUUGACAGGGACCAGAUUGUGGACUGCAUUCUAGUCAAUGGACAAGCCAUUUUAUUCCAAAAUCAAUGGAAGGCCAGUGAAUGAAUGACUUUACCCCUGGAGCAUGACAUGACCUGAUUUAUAUUUCUUUUCUGUUCCUUUUUUCUUUAGGGAUAAUUGUAGAUUCACAUGUUUGUAAGAAAUAAUACAGAGAAAUCCCGUGUAUUUUUUACUGGGUACUUACCCAGUUUCCCCUUGUAUGAUGCAAGAUCAUAAGUACAAAAUCAUAACCAGAAUAUUGACAUUAGUAUAAUCUACCAAUCUUAUUAUUUCCCUAGUUUUAUUUGUACUUUGCCAUUGUUUGGUCGGUAAGUCGUGUCCAACUCUUUUGCAGCCCCAUAGAGUGCAGCCCACCAGGCUCCUCUGUCCAUGGGAUUUUUCCAGGCAGAAUACUGGAGUGGGUUUACAUUUCCUUCAGGGGAUCUUCCUGACCCAGAGAUCGAACCCACAUGUGCUGCAUUGGCAGGCAGAUUGUUUACCACUGAACCACCAGGGAAACCUUGCUGCUGCUGCUAAGUCGCUUCAGUCGUGUCCGACUCUGUGCGACCCCAUAGACGGUAGCCCACCAGGCUCCCCCAUCCCUGGGAUUCUCCAGGCAAGAACACUGGAGUGGGUUGCCAUUUCCUUCUCCAAUGCAUGAAAGUGAGAAGUGAAAGUGAAGUUGCUCAGUCAUGUCCGACUCUUAGCGACCCCAUGGACUGCAGCCCACCAGGCUCCUCCAUCCAUGGGAUUUUCCAGGCAAGAGUACUGGAGUGGGGUGCCAUUGCCUUCUCCGAGGGAAACCUUAUUUGUACUUAAUUCUAUCCAAUUUUAUCAUGAUUUUAUCACCUGUAGACUCGUGUAUCCACCACCACAGUUGGCAUACAAAAUACUUCCAUCAUUGCAAGAAUCCAUCAUGUUGCUCCUGUAGCCUCAGCCACCUCCCCAGUACCACCCUCCCCCUACCCCCACCAGUUCCUUGCCAUUGGCAACCAUUCAUCUGUACUCCAUUUCUAUAAUUCUGUUAUGUUAAGAAUGUUAUAUAAAUGAGUCAUACAGUGUGUAACCUUUGGGGAUUGUUUUUUUCACUCAGCUUAAUUCCCU
rnacentral:lncRNA from 1 species